rnacentral:rRNA from 1 species
AACGAACGCUGGCGGCAUGCCUAACACAUGCAAGUCGAACGAGAUCUUCGGGUCUAGUGGCGCACGGGUGCGUAACGCGUGGGAAUCUGCCCUCAGGUUCGGAAUAACAGCGAGAAAUUGCUGCUAAUACCGGAUGAUAUCGCGAGAUCAAAGAUUUAUCGCCUGAGGAUGAGCCCGCGUAGGAUUAGCUAGUUGGUGUGGUAAAGGCGCACCAAGGCGACGAUCCUUAGCUGGUCUGAGAGGAUGAUCAGCCACACUGGGACUGAGACACGGCACAGACUCCUACGGGAGGCAGCAGUGGGGAAUAUUGGACAAUGGGCGAAAGCCUGAUCCAGCAAUGCCGCGUGAGUGAUGAAGGCCUUAGGGUUGUAAAGCUCUUUUACCCGGGAUGAUAAUGACAGUACCGGGAGAAUAAGCUCCGGCUAACUCCGUGCCAGCCGCCGCAGUAA